rnacentral:rRNA from 1 species
CCUACGGGAGGCACCAGUGGGGAAUAUUGCACAAUGGGCGCAAGCCUGAUGCAGCCAUGCCGCGUGUAUGAAGAAGGCCUUCGGGUUGUAAAGUACUUUCAGCGGGGAGGAAGGUGUUGUGGUUAAUAACCACAGCGAUUGACGUUACCCGCAGAAGAAGCACCGGCUAACUCCGUGCCAGUAGCCGCGGUAAUACGGAGGGUGCAAGCGUUAAUCGGAAUUACUGGGCGUAAAGCGCACGCAGGCGGUCUGUCAAGUCGGAUGUGAAAUCCCCGGGCUCAACCUGGGAACUGCAUUCGAAACUGGCAGGCUAGAGUCUUAUAGAGGGGGGUAGAAUUCCAGGUGUAGCGGUGAAAUGCGUUGAGAUCUGGAGGAAUACCGGUGGCGGAGGCGGCCCCCUGGACAAAGACUGACGCUCAGGUGCGAAAGCGUGGGGAGCAAACAGGAUUAGAUACCCCUGUAGUC